AACCAGCACCUCAAGUGGUCAGGAUGAUUAUUGGGCCUAAAGCAUCCGUAGCCGGUUCUGUAAGUUUUCGGUUAAAUCUAUGCGCUCAACGUAUAGGCUGCCGAAAAUACUGCAGAACUAGGGAGUGGGAGAGGUAGACGGUACUCGGUAGGAAGGGGUAAAAUCCUUUGAUCUAUUGAUGACCACCUGUGGCGAAGGCGACUCACUGGACAGUUAUUGACGCUGAGGUGCGAAAGCGUGGGGAGCAAACAGG
rnacentral:rRNA from 1 species